UCUGGGUAGUUUAAGAUAGGAUUAUAAUUUGUGGUAUUAUAGGUGGGAUUUUCCCCUCAGGUC
rnacentral:tRNA from 1 species